rnacentral:rRNA from 1 species
CGGCCGCUGGUUGAUCCUGCCAGUAGUCAUAUGCUUGUCUCAAAGAUUAAGCCAUGCAUGUCUCAGUUCAGGCCUUAAUACGGUGAGACCGCGAAUGGCUCAUUAAAUCAGCUAUGGUUUAUUGGAUCGUGCCCGUUAGAUGGAUAACUGUAAUAACUCUAGAGCUAAUACAUGCCUCGAUGCCCUGACCCUGCUCGUGUUUGCCUUGCUUGCAUGUGGUGGGGGAUGGGUGCACUUAUUAGAUCAGAAGCCAACCAACUGUGCGUGUGCGGCCCACCGCGAGGUGGACGUGGCGUGCGUUGAGACACUCACUUCUGGUGACUCUGGAUAAUUGUUACAGAUCGCAGUCGGCGUCUGAGUCGGCGACGGGUCCUUCAAAUGU